CCCGUCCACACUAGGGGAGAUGAGCAGGACACUUGCACAGCAGCCCAGAGGCUUUGCCCUCACCUAAGCCCCCAUAUACAACAUGCUGGGCACUCUCAGGGGAAACUGUUUAGGCAAUAUGCAGCUUCCCCCAGCUUCAAACUGGCUCAAAAAAAUAAAAAUAUCCCCUGAAAGCCUCCAGUUUUGCUAUCCUAGGAACACUCUUGAGUUAAUAUGGGCUUCAGCUUUUCAGUCUUUAUUCUAAUGCCUUUCAGGUUCACUGAAUCUAAGCCAUACAGGAUUUUUACGAAGUGUUAAUGGGCUGCAGUGACUCUAUAUAAUCCAGCACUGGCUGGUGAGUUAUCACACCCCAUUGUCACUUCAUUAGUUGGCAGCUUGGGAGAACACAGGUGCCUUCUCUGUGCUCGGCAGCACGAGGUCGGUCACACCAGCAGACGGCCCAGAAAAGCACCCACGGUCUGGUGGCUGCCCAUGCCUAGGAUCAGGACUGAGAGUCCUCCAUACAUCAUGUCAUCGCUGGACCGCAACAGGGGAAUUCGCCUGAUUCUCCCCAGCAGCUUGUUCAGUAGUACACCCAUCAACUGCUCUGACAAAUCUACCUCUACAUAUGUCUUGUCUCAGGCUUUCAGCAAACACCUGGACUUUUGGUUUUGGGAACAAACCUGGGAAGAGUGCUGAGAAACAGCCAGUUCCCUGUUUGGUGGAGGUAAAGCAGAAUACAGCCAGUAUAUCUGAAAGGUUGGACACAUCUUCUGUUUUAGGUAUCACAAGAGCAGUCCAGAGAAACAUCUAGAAGGAAUUUCAAAGCCCUAAGAAGGGUUCUGAGAAUCAGGAUUACCUCUCAACAAUGUAAAAUACAAGGGAAAACAAACAUAUGCAGCCAACAAGGUGAAGCUCCAUUGGCAAACAGUUAUGCCCCGAGCCUUAUUUUCAAAAGCAUGUGCAUGUAAUGGUGUGUGCAAGAGUGAACAAUCGACAGUAUCCUUCGUUUAUAUGACUUCCCAUGCUUGCAUCUUGCAGCCAUGGUAUCUGUGUGCCCACCUGAAGGAGCACGGGCAGGUGGCGGCUGGGGGAGCGCCCAGCCCACCGCUGAGACCCCCCGAUCCCAGGAGAAUGGCACUGCGUAUGCUCAGCACAGCAGGUGAAGCCAGGAAGAGUAAAGGGAGUAUAAUCACAAAA
rnacentral:lncRNA from 1 species